GUCGCGGGGGACCCCCUCCGGGGGGGGGGGUCUGCGAAAGGGACAAACAACCCCCUCCCCCGGCUUGCUUUUUUCUCUUCUCCCCCCCCCACCCCAUUUUCCCAGGGUCUGCUGCCAAUCAUUCGCGAUCGGAUUGUCGCCGUGCAUUUCGCCCUCCCUGCCGGCGCCCACAUUUGGGGGGGAAGGGGAAAAAAAAGAUUUGGGGGAGUCCGGAUCCCUGGAUCCCGAGGACCGGGAUCGAUUGACGGUUGCGGGAUUUGGCAUUGAUUUUUUUCUCUUUUUUUAGUAGGGUUUUUUUGAAGGGGAUAAUAGACCCGCGGGUUGUGCAUUUUUGUUGUUGUCGUUGUCGUUUUCGUCCGGUUUAUUGUCUUUUUACAACCUGACCGGGAAAAAGAGCCCCCUCCUCAUCUUAAAUAUUGGGGAUCCGGGGGAGAGGAACCUCGAACUCGGGGACCCACCCCCAAAAAGGAUGUUUUUUAUCUGGAUUUUGCAGUUGCAGCUGGUGUUUUGAAGGCGCCCACCCCUAGUUUUGCAGGGAUUUGUGGUUGGGGGUGUUUUUUUGGGGGGGGGGUGGGUUUAUUUGGGGGUGGGGUUUUGGGGUGGGGUUAGGAAGCAGGUUAUCGGGGUGCCUUCUGCUUUCCUGCCUCACUCAAGCCUUUGGUGGGUUUUUUUCCCUCCUUAAAGGGUCGGGGGCGGGGAGGAGGGGAGGGGGCUUGGGUGGGGGGACCAUGUUUGCAGACAGACCCCCCUCGGGGCAGCUCCGGACCCCGACAUCCUGAGGUCCAGGGAGGGAGAGCUUCGGUGCUGAGAAGUUGGGGAGACCCCCCCCCUUUUUCUUCCCCCCUCCCCCACCAAGCCCCUUCGCCCGCACCCCCUUUUUGUGUGUGUCUGUGCAUUUUUGCGAUUGCGAACGAGGGGCCUCGACCGAGAGGCCUCCGCCCUGCGCCCCCCGACCCCCGGAACCAUGAGCGUGAGACCCCCCCAGACGAUAGACAGAUCAGCCGGUAAAAAGCACGGCCACCUGUCCGGGUAAGAGGGAGCGGGCGGCGACGGGGAAGAGGGUGAACCCCCGCCCCGUGCCCCCUGAAAAUGGAGGAAGCUCGAGGCUGGAUUGGGGGGGGGGGGUCCCCUCUCAGACCAGCUGCCCCCCACCUCCCUGGGGUCCGUCUGGAGAAGGGGGGCGGUGGCCGGGUUAGGCCCGGCGGCCCCCCCGAUCUCCCCCGACGCGAACCCUCGGUCCCGGGU
rnacentral:lncRNA from 1 species